ensembl:lncRNA novel transcript
GCAUGCUCAGUGCGCGGCCGGAGGAGGCGAGCGCUGGGGACGCAGCACCUGCCCCGCGCGGCCGAGAGGCGGCAGCCCCAGGUCCCCAGCGCGCGAAAUUAGUAAAGGGCGCCUGGCCCGAUUCUCAGGCAAGAGGAGAUUAUCAGCCGGAUUCCCGUGCGGGGACGUAGGGGUUGCGUUGUUCAGCGGCCAGGGAUGCGCCGAGGCGAUGUCUCCUCCCUUUACAACCCGAGUAUCGGGGCACGAGGAGGCGCGACCUUCCUGGGUACCCAAACCUCUGGCCUCCGGGAGACGCGGAAUUCGGGGGAUCGUUAAGGCGCCCUGGCCAGGGAAACAGAUGCUUCUGCGUCUGGGCUGAAAAUUGCUGAACCGGGGAAUGUGGGUGGGCGGGUGGCAUUGAACUUAGGCCAGAAGAGGGGGCUUUGGUAGGUUUUUACCUGCCUGUCCUUAGGCGGAGGACACUGGCUGGACAGGCUGCGUUACACACCUGAAGUCUCAUCCACGCAAAGUGCUUUCAGAAGUGGCUCCCUUCGCCGCAACUCCACACCUCGGGGUAACCGUAGAGAUUGGCAGCAAUGCCCCAGCCCCUCACCAGCACUGUGCAAAGUGACUUUGACAGGCAGAGAAAAGCCAACCCAGUCGAAUUCGUCUGGAAAGCAUUCCAGCAACCCAGAGAGGAGCCUCUGUUUCUCUCUCUGGGAAAAAGCCCCAAGGGUUUUGCUGAACCCAGGUCUUCCUGCUCAUCUCUCAGCAGUUCAGAGCUACAUAAACAACUUCUGACCAUUUACGCAAUCAUGUAAACCUACCCUGACAUCUCCACUAUGUGGAAAAGAUGUUAACUGGAAAACUAUUUUUAAACUACUGCAGUAAGCAAAUAAACAUCCAACUCCAACAUAUAUAUGCAGCAGCCUUAUUAGUUCAUUCAGUGUUGGUUUGGUUUGUUUGUUUUGUCUUCUGCUUUUUAGAAUUAAUUAUUAUCUUUAUAAUUCCUGUUCGAGAAGUGGGCAAAACCAGGCUAGUGAUAGGUAUUGUUGUGGUCAAAUUUUUCAUCACUUGAAAUUCCAUGACUUUCAUGAUUGCUGAGAUUAAUGCUAAAUAAAGAAGUUACCCCCCCGCCCCCACCCCACCCCAACCUCCCCACCAAAGUUUCCUGAUUACUUAAACUUGGAGAGAAAUUUUCAGGCUUUUUCCUCCCUCCUUGCCUGGUAUGUGUCUGUAAUAGAGGUACUUUUGCAAAACUGGAAUGUUGGUGAUGCAGGUGUUUUCCAUGGUAAACAGCCACUGAGGAUCAAUGGUUCCCAGGUUCCCACUCACUUUGAAGGCUUUUGUGCUUCUGCCGGAACUGUGACUUUUACUACCUGUACUAUGUAUGAUUUUUUUUUACAUUGAUUAUUUCUCUGCAACUAGUCAAUUAAAAGUACAUAUAUAUAA